rnacentral:rRNA from 1 species
CCUACGGGAGGCAGCAGUGAGGAAUAUUGGUCAAUGGACGAGAGUCUGAACCAGCCAAGUAGCGUGAAGGAUGACUGCCCUAUGGGUUGUAAACUUCUUUUAUAUGGGAAUAAAGUGUUCUACGUGUGGGAUUUUGUAUGUACCAUAUGAAUAAGGAUCGGCUAACUCCGUGCCAGCAGCCGCGGUAAUACGGAGGAUCCGAGCGUUAUCCGGAUUUAUUGGGUUUAAAGGGAGCGUAGGUGGAAUGUGAAGUCAGUUGUGAAAUGUGGGGGCUCAACCGUAAAAUUGCAGUUGAAACUGGCAGUCUUGAGUACGGUAGAGGUGGGCGGAAUUCGGGGUGUAGCGGUGAAAUGCUUAGAUAUCACGAAGAACUCCGAUUGCGAAGGCAGUUCACUGGACUGCAACUGACACUGAGGCUCGAAAGUGUGGGUAUCGAACAGGAUUAGAUACCCGGGUAGUC